rnacentral:rRNA from 1 species
UAGGGAAUCUUCGGCAAUGGGGGCAACCCUGACCGAGCAACACCGCGUGAGUGAAGAAGGUUUUCGGAUCGUAAAGCUCUGUUGUAAGAGAAGAACGUGUGUGAGAGUGGAAAGUUCACACAGUGACGGUAACUUACCAGAAAGGGACGGCUAACUACGUGCCAGCAGCCGCGGUAAUACGUAGGUCCCGAGCGUUGUCCGGAUUUAUUGGGCGUAAAGCGAGCGCAGGCGGUUUAAUAAGUCUGAAGUUAAAGGCAGUGGCUUAACCAUUGUUCGCUUUGGAAACUGUUAAACUUGAGUGCAGAAGGGGAGAGUGGAAUUCCAUGUGUAGCGGUGAAAUGCGUAGAUAUAUGGAGGAACACCGGUGGCGAAAGCGGCUCUCUGGUCUGUAACUGACGCUGAGGCUCGAAAGCGUGGGGAGCAAACAGG